rnacentral:lncRNA from 1 species
CAAAAGCUGAGGCUCACUGCCCCCAGUGGGCAGUGGGUCCAGGGGGUUUCUGAGGACAGGGCAUGACCCAGCCCUGCUGCCCCCAAGAUGGCACCUGGCUUGGAGGGGUGAGGGGCCCUGUUAGUCUGACUUUGAAGAAGACCAGCCUUCCAGACUCGCUUGGUGCCCUGACAGGUAUGUGUGCUCUUCUCUCUCCCACCUAACAGCCCCUUUUGGGAGACAGGGUCUGAGAGGAGUCAGGGUCGUAUAACCUUAACACAGUGUGUUAUCCAAAAACCCACUAACCCUGUUACUCUUGUCUGUCUGCUAUGUGAAACCAAGGGCGGUGUUAAAGUUUAUCACCAUGAUAUACAGAUGUGCGUGGGGACAUCUGGGAUGGGGCUCAGGGGUCUACCUGGAGGUCAGAGAGGGCAGGAUCUGCUUAGGGGAGAUGGAUGACUGUGGGGGUCAGACAGGGCAGGGUUUGCUUAGGGGAGAUGGAUGACUGUGGACAUGUGGCUGUAAAUCAUCCUCCCCGUCUUACAUAGGAUGGGGAUGCAACUUUCAAGAGUUGCCUUGAUUGGUACCUUAAAGGAAAUAAAACAUAAAAUGCUUGGCACAUAGUAGAUGCUCAACACAUGUAGAAAAGGCACUUAUUUUAGGUGGAUCUGCCGCCGAAUGGCCCUUUUGCAAGCUCUUCUCAUUUUUUGGAAUCCAAAGGGAAGGUGUGGGGAGCAGGGUCGGGGUGGAGGGGAAGGACGACGUGAGGUUGCAGAGGGCAUUUUCUUGAGGCAAUGGCAUAUCUUUCAUUGGUACUGGCUGGGUUUAUGCGGACUUUGAGAGGAGUGGAGUGUCUCCAAGUGGGGCUACCCCAGCCUGCAGGUUGGAUGCAGGUAACCUCAGUCUGGGCACUGCAUUUUUAUUUACCAUAAAAAUAUUUCAUAUUUGCUGGGUGUGGUGGCUCACGCUUAUAAUCCCAGCACUUUCGGAGGCCGAGGCCGGUGGAUCACCUGAGGCCAGGAGUUUGAGACCAGCCUGGCCAACAUGGUGAAACCCCGUCUCUACAAAAAUACACAAAAUUAGCUGGGCGUGGUGGUGCAUGCCUGUAGUUCCAGCUACUCAGGAGACUGAGGCAUGAGAAUUGCUCGAACCUGGAAGGCAGAAGUUGCAGUUAGCCGAGAUUGCACCAUUGCACUCCAGCCUGGGUGACAGCAAGACUCCGUCUCAAAAAAAAAAAAAAGAAAGAAAAAUUGCAAAACUAUAGCAAUCACCUCAAGGUUUUCACAGGAAUCAAACUCAGUCCAAACUAAAAUGCUGUGUAAUAAAUAGUGGGGCUUCACGUGCAGGAAAGGCGAUUAAGAGCGAGGCAUGCAGGCCGAGGGCUGCUUAACCUGUCUCAGAUUUCUUCCGCACAAAGUCA